UACUAAUUUUUGAUUUAAUAUUUUUU
rnacentral:piRNA from 1 species